GUGGACCAGCCCUGCCUGAUGUGGAGAGCAGGAAGAAAGAGACACCCAGGACCACAGACAGAAGACCCUGCAUCUCUUGGCUCAGCUCCUGAUGCUUACAUAGAAAUGGACAUCAUUCAGUGAAUGACCGUUAUCUACAAAAUGCCAUAAGACCUAGGUUAUUGGUCACACACCAGCACUGAGCUCCUGCCUGAAUUAUAAAACACAGAGAUUUUUGGAACAACAACAACAAAAACCUCAUGACGGUUGACAGCUCCAGAGGCCAGGCCUGAAACUCCAAGCCUGUUCCUACCUCCCAUUCUGGAUGGACCCGCGGAAGGAACAAGCAGCUCUGAAGGUGCCCAUGAGGCAACGCAGAACAAUCUACUCUCUCUCCAGUCUUCAUCGUCCCCUCCCCCAAUCCAACAAAUGACCUACCACCAC